rnacentral:rRNA from 1 species
ACACGACUACAUUAGAUACCCGUGUAGUCCUAGCCGUAAACGAUACUCGCUAGGUGUCGGCCACGGUGCGACCGUUGUCGGUGCCGUUAGGGAAGCCGUGAAGCGAGCCACCUGGGAAGUACGGCCGCAAGGCUGAAACUUAAAGGAAUUGGCGGGGGAGCACAACAACGGGUGGAGCUUGCGGUUUAAUUGGAUUCAACGCCGGAAAUCUUACCGGGACCGACAGCAACAUGAAGGCCAAGCUGAAGACUUUGCCGGAUUAGCUG